UACGGAAGGUGCGAGCGUUAAUCGGAAUUACUGGGCGUAAAGCGCACGUAGGCGGUUACUUAAGUCGGAUGUGAAAGCCCUGGGCUUAACCUGGGAAUUGCAUCCGAUACUGGGUGACUAGAGUACGGUAGAGGGGGGUGGAAUUCCAGGUGUAGCGGUGAAAUGCGUAGAGAUGUGGAGGAAUACCGAUGGCGAAGGCAGCCCCCUGGGUCAAUACUGACGCUCAUGCACGAAAGCGUGGGGAGCAAACAGGAUUAGAAACCCCGGUAGU
rnacentral:rRNA from 1 species